UACGAAGGGGGCUAGCGUUGUUCGGAAUUACUGGGCGUAAAGCGCACGUAGGCGGACUAUUAAGUCAGGGGUGAAAUCCCGGGGCUCAACCCCGGAACUGCCUUUGAUACUGAUAGUCUCGAGUCCGGAAGAGGUGAGUGGAAUUCCGAGUGUAGAGGUGAAAUUCGUAGAUAUUCGGAGGAACACCAGUGGCGAAGGCGGCUCACUGGUCCGGUACUGACGCUGAGGUGCGAAAGCGUGGGGAGCAAACAGG
rnacentral:rRNA from 1 species